rnacentral:rRNA from 1 species
CGCCCUUCCAGAGGGGGACAACAGUUGGAAACGACUGCUAAUACUGCAUACGAUCUAACCUCGGCAUCGAGGAUGGAUGAAAGGUGGCCUCUAUUUAUAAGCUAUCACUGAAGGAGGGGAUUGCGUCUGAUUAGCUAGUUGGAGGGGUAACGGCCCACCAAGGCGAUGAUCAGUAGCCGGUCUGAGAGGAUGAACGGCCACAUUGGGACUGAGACACGGCCCAG